UCCUGGCUCAGGAUGAACGCUAGCGGCAGGCCUAAUACAUGCAAGUCGAGCGGCAAGUCGAGGAGUAAUCUAAGACCUUAGAGCGGCGCACGGGUGCGUAACGCGUAUGCAACCUACCUUAUACUGGGGGUAUAGCCCGGAGAAAUUCGGAUUAAUCCCCCAUAGUACUAUUUGAUCGCAUGGUUGAAUAGUUAAAGCAUUGCGGUAUAAGAUGGGCAUGCGUCCUAUUAGCUAGAUGGUGAGGUAACGGCUCACCAUGGCUACGAUAGGUAGGGGGCCUGAGAGGGUGGUCCCCCACACUGGAACUGAGAUACGGUCCAGACUCCUACGGGAGGCAGCAGUGGGGAAUAUUGCACAAUGGGCGCAAGCCUGAUGCAGCAACGCCGCGUGAGGGAUGAAGGCCUUCGGGUUGUAAACCUCUUUUAGCAGGGAAGAAGCGAAAGUGACGGUACCUGCAGAAAAGCACCGGCUAACUACGUG
rnacentral:rRNA from 1 species